UCCCACCCCGCGAAAAGUGGCCAUCUGUGGCCGCCUGCCCCCUUCUAUGUUGAAGGACAAGGCUAGCGGGGUGGGUUGCG
rnacentral:sRNA from 1 species